GAGGCGCAGCGGGGUCUGGGGGGGCCGCUGGCGGCCCCCACCCACGAGGCUGCCCCGCGCCAGCUUCUGCAGCUCGACGGGCACCACGGCGCUGGGGCAGUGCUUCUCGAUGUAGUCCUGGAAUCCCUGCACUCCCAUGCGAGCGCCUGCCUCGGCUGCCAGCAUGCUCCUACAAACCUCCCAGCCUGCACAGAGCAGCAGAGCUGAACUCGUGCCAGGAAAGUGCUUGUCUCCUAAGAGGUUCCCAGAUCAGGACGAUACAUGAAGAAAGCAUGCAGAUAAGGCAUCGUUUGCCCAAACAUGUCGUCAGAAACUGACUUCCUAAAGGUAUGUCUCAGGCUGGAGAAUGCAAACACAGACGUGUGAUAUUUCUCCAUUUCAGAACAGGCAUUAUAAUAUCUCUAAGAUGCAGAUUUCCUUCACAAUUUCUUAAUUCCAGUACUGACAGAGGGAGGGUAAUCUGAAUUCCCAGAUGCACCGUGUUGGAGAACUCUCCAUUCAGUUCAGCAAUUCUGGAAAAUAUAUUGGCCCAGCUAACAGUAUUGGGGAAAAGAAGAUUAUUUCUGCUGUGGUACCACAAGGCAACAGGUCCUGUUUUCAGGGAAGAAUCUUUAAUCCAAAAUGUAUCAGACCAGUUCUUUCUCUUGUAAUAUCCUAAAGGAAAAUAGAAUUAUUCAGCUUUUUUUCACAAUGUAUAGAAAAGUGUGAAGUCAAAACCAAGUCUAAGCUCCUCCUCAGUGGAGGGACAAUGGCUGUCUCUUUAAAGCACACUGGUCCCAGUGCCCUCUGCAAAACAGUGGGACAUCACAGGAAGUUUUUUUGGUGUUAGAGGCUCAGUUUCCCCAGGAAUCAGUAAUUACCACAAGGAGAACUGCAGAGAUGUGGGACAUCUUUACUGCUUGCAGUACCACCACCACACUGCUGACUGCCAGGCAGCUGGCAUAUAAAUGGACUGAAAAAUCCACUGAAAUGCUCUGAUGUUGUAUAGAUGCACAAUUUGAAAGGAUUAUGAGUGUUUGUUUUUAAAAGAAAAUUAAUAAAAGACAUUUAUAAGGCUAUGGAAAAUACUGGUGGUCUGAAAGAAGAAGAGGAAAUUCUCAUUGUUUUUCUCACUGUGUAAGGAACACGGGCAAUCACAGAGGGAGGGAGAUACAGUGUGCAGAAAGCCCCAAACAAGCCCAAAGAAACCAUUCCCUGUUGGAUUUCACUAUGGAUUUCUCCUCAGGUGAGUGGGGAUCGUGGCCCAGCCUGCCCACACCAGUCCUGCUCGCUCCUGUCUCUCAUCAGAGGCACCACAAGUAGCACCCACAUGGUGCUGCAGCACUGAAAAUUUGUGACUGGAAGCAAAUGGCUUGGCAGGAGAGAAAAAAAUAGGUGCAGAGAGGUCCCUGUCCUCAGAAAGCCUGCUGAUCCAAAGCCUUUCUCCUUGGAAGAAGUCAUAUUUACAUGGCAAAUUCAAACGUAACAGUGACAGCGGCAGAAUAUUUCCGAGAAAGCCCCUUAUUAAUAUUUUGGCAGCACGAGAUUGUUUUUUUCCCAAUUGCACAUGUUGCUCCAUCUGCCACAAAGCCAUUGGUUCCAACAGCCUGGCCUUCCCCGUUAAAGGGGCAUCACCAUCACGACACAUCAUGUUUGUGGUGGGGCUGUGAGGAGAGGGAAGUGAUAGGAGUGUGGCUCACGCUGCAGUGGCGUGCCCUGUUGGCGAGGAGUUUGCUGUGAGAGAACAAGCCAGCUGAGAAGGUGUUUCCUUCCUGUUUACUAGUGUGAGAACUGUUAAUUUAGUUGUGUUUAGUACCUUAGCUGGUGACCUGUUCUUAAAGGGUUUGAUCAGAGGGUAGUGGGCUUACAUAGCUUGCAGUAGCAGCAAGGGCAAAACAUUGUUUAAAUUUAGUAGAAUUCUGUAAAUAGGCUUUUAAGAAUCACACUAAACAAGAAGUGGUUCUAAAUGUCAACACCCUGUCCAUUGUUUUGGAGUAUACAGAAGUUCUUUCAUAAUUUAAAAAAAAAAAAAAAUUGAACAUUUUUGUCUUUUGUUCUUCAUUGACAUCACACCAACUUCUCACCAUUCACAGGAACAGGAGGGAGAGUUCCCCAGGCCAGGACAGCCAGGGCACACCAGUCAUCCACAUCCCUUCCCUGCUUCAGCUCAGGAUCCUGUGUCCUGAACCUCAGGUCACCUCCCAGCCACCGUGGAACUGGCUUACCUGGGACAUUUUUGGAGUUUAACAUCACAACAAGUGUGUCUCUGCAAAACACUUUGUUUUUAGAAAAACAUCACAUUUCCACCAAGAUACCUUCCUGAUUUCUUUUUUUUUAAAUCUGAGUUAUAACGAGGGUAAGAGAUACGUGAUUCCUUAAACCCAAAGGAGACAUCCAAUGGAAGAAAGCAAUCUUAAUUCUAAAAUGACUGUUUCAGUGAUGACUUGUAAUCUGUGCAGUUUUAUCUACUUGAUAAUACCCCGCUUAGUGUUAGAUCUAAAAAAAGAAUGAAAUGAGAAAAUCAUUCCUUUGAUAUGCAUUAAGUUAUUCAGUUAGUAAAUUAGUGAAUCUUAUCCUGAGUGUUAUUAGCUAUUAGCAUGUUACACUUCUUGAUGUUGCUCAUGAAGAAUGCAUAUGAAAAUGAGGGAAAAAAUUCCCUUUUGAAGUUCCUGCCACUUGAGUUGUUGACAUUUCUUUUAAUUGGUGAAUGUCCUCUUGAAUGCAGUAUUCCCUCUGUCUGGUUUUAUGAGAGAUUCUUCAUUUUUAAUUUGUUCUCCCAUUGAUUAGACUUUUUUUUGAAUGGGUAGCUCUCAAGAUAAUUAGCCUUUCAAGGGAACCAUGUUCUCCUAAAUAGUUAUUAAUGAGUAUCUCCCCCAUUCAGUACACUUAGGCCUUUUUCAUUAGGGGAAUUUCCAGCUUACACGUGGGCUGGUCGAGCCAGGCCUGGUACCACCAAAGACAGCAGGAAUCACUGCAGAUUUCAGGAAGAAUGAGAUCAGACCCUGGAAGUGAAGAAAGAUCAUUUGCAUUCACUUUGUCUUUGGCAGGUGUCUGUUUUCUAGGAGUACUUACAAACAGUUCUUCAGGAUCCAAGGUAGAUUGAGGAGGGAGUGAAAUGAGUGAAAGAAAACAAGGUGAUUCCAUGUGAACCAGGAUUCCAUCUUCAAAGGAUCCCAUCAGCUGCUGCAGCUGGGCUAAGGAGCCUCACCUGGACUGCAUGGUUCCCAGUGCUGGAAAUGUCAGCUCCCUUUUCUUGAAAGUCAGUGUAUGUUACACAAACAUAAACCCAUUAAACCCAACCACCAUUCUGUAUCUGAAGUUACUUUCUCAAGUAUCUCAAGUAUCUGAAGUUACUUUCCCACUAAAGAUCCAAGGAUCUUCAGUUUAGGAAUUGUUGCCAGUGUUACCCUUGCAGUUAAGAGCACACUGAAUAAUAAAAUACUCCAGCAUGUCACACACAGCUACAGUGGCCUGAUGCCAUUCUGGCUCCUGCUUGGCUCCCCUAAGCCAGUUCUUGUCCCUUCCCUUCCUCUCCUCCUUAACCUUAAACUCUGCCCUGAGCAUUGCUAGGUAUCCUCCUGCUGGAAUGCAGUCUUGACUUUGUAUGUCACACUCUGCCCUUUCUCUUUGCUCUUUCAAAACAGACUGGAACAUCAUCCUCAUCCUUUCUCUGCCUGUCUUUCCCUGUUACCUCCACACGUGGUCAUUAAGGAACCUCUACCACAAACGUUCCUGGACAGACUUCUAUCCAAACAAGAAUCUCAUGGCAUUUCUCCGUGAAAGUGUUCAAGAUGAGUGUCCUAAACCAGGGGGGUUUAGGGUCUUUCAAACUCAUGCCAUCAGUUUAUUUCCCGCUUUCUAUGAACAGUAUGAUCACUGAUUUUUUUGUCAUGCCCAUCUGCUGUCUCGACUUCAGCAGAGGUCACACUAUGGGUCAGCCUGGACUGACUGGAUUUAAAUUUGUCACUUAUUUCUCCAUGGCAGAAAUGGCACAUUUCAAAUAUGUCCUUUUCUAUCCUAACUGAGAACUAAAGCUUUGAACCAGGCUCUGAUGAUCUUAUGGCUCACAUCCAUAACAUUCCUGCUUUCUGGGCUUGACCAAUGCUGUUAGGAUAAUAAAGUCAAAUAAUUUUAUUUGGUUUAUGGCUUUUAUCGUUAGUAAUCUCUUCCACCUCCUUUUGUUUCCUGCUUUUCUGUCAUUUCAGGUAAGUUACUGCUCUUUGCUUUCCCAGUGCCCUCCUUGACCCACAUGCCCUACCCAUCUCUUUCACCAGGAAAUUGCUUGUCCCUCCCAGGGGCAAUAAUUCCAAAGUUUCCUCUGUAGCCAAGAAGUCAUUUCACCCACACAGCUAUCUCCUGAAUCUCCUGUGAGUGUAUCCUUGUUUUCCUGUGCACAGGUACGGUGUUACCGUGAGCACCACCAACGCCGCGGGCUCUUUGCUUCCACCUCCUCCCGCCUGUCUGUCGGUCUGGUUCGUCCCCAGCUGUCACUGCCCUGCCCUGGGGUUGCUCUUUUCAUCCACAUUUAUGCACAGCCAAUUUCAGUGGGUUUUUAUUCCAUACUUCAGCUUUCUGUAAGCUACAGAAAAUAAUAGGUGGCUGUUUUGUCUCUGCUUGGACUGAUUCUGCAAUCCCUGAAGACCAACAUCUUCCUUGCAAUAGACACUGGGCAUUUUUUCAGGAGAAAUAGCUCAACAACUUCAGUACAAAAAAAAAAAAAAAAAAGGGUCAGAAACAUCAACAUCACCUUUCAGGUAGAAAAUCAAUAUGAAAAUAAUUGAAAUUGAAAAACAAAAAAAUUUAAAUAAAACCCAAGGUGAUCCAACACAGGUUGUAAAAGUCAGAAUAAAUGGCCAACCAAACAACCACUGCAGAGUCAUAACUUAAAGAGGAGCUUGACUCUGGGGAAGAGCAAUGUUUAUAGAGAGGCUAAUUUAAUUUUAUUGAAUUCUAAUAAAAUACCUAUUAAAAGUUACAAGUUGUGGUCCAAAAUUCUGCAGCUCAGAGGAGAGCUAGCACAGGCUUUGAACUGGCCUGACAUAGUGAUCUAUUUCUGAUAUAUAAAAUAAGCUAUUUCAAGAGCCCAUUUCCAGGCAAGCUGCCUGGGUGGAGCCCUGCCCUCACUGCAGUCAACAGUUUUGCUGGUGACACUGGUGGAAUGAUAAAUGUUUUUAGCCUGUGCAAGAUUAAAUAUUGGGCCAGGAAACCCGUAUCAGUUCUGUUGCAUGCAAUAACAGUGAUUCUAAACACAAUAUUUGCUUAGGAGGAUUACUAAAUGGAAUUUGAAAAGUGAUUUAUUAACAGAAAUUUUUUUUUUUUUUGGUUUAUUCCCCCAGGUUUCCUAAUUGUGCCAUGUUACUUUGUACGGUAUCUGCCUCUGCUGUACCAGGGCAGAAUAUGCACUUAAACCUUUGGGCAUGAGGGGUGAGUCGUUCCCAUUCCCCAUCCCACUGGAAAGUCAACAAAAGCAAGCCUUUAAUAGUGUGAAUUCCAUUAUGGCCCAGCUUAGCAAGAACCUAAAGCCUGCAAGUGCUAUGAUAAUUUAUCUUUGAACUCGUUAGUGGCGCGGCAUAAUUAACAAGUAAGCUGUAGGAACACGCCGCCGCUCUGUAUUUACACGGCAUUUGCCGUGCAGUUGCGGUAUAAUUACAGAGAUUAUACCUGCUCUCUAGAAUAAGAGUACAUGGUGUACCUCAUUUUGUGCCAUUUCACACCAGUGGAGCAGAGCACAGCGUGGUGGAGUUGAACAAAUAUUUCAUUCUGCUGUAGGUGGCCGGGUGUGGAUCUGCACAGAGCGCUGCUAUUCAAACCUGCGCCGCGGUUUCGGGCUGCUCGGGGUGGCAACCUGACUUCUGGAGCUCAAGUGAUUUAUAUUUUGGAAUGCUGCCCUUUCGGUGAUGUCAGUGGACUUGAAUAUGCAGAUUUGAAAACAGGCAAGGUUUUCCUGUUUUCAUAGUGGACAGCAAGAGACAAUGGAAGAGAUGCCUAUCCGUGCCCCAGUUAUGGUCACAAACAUCAUCACCCAUGAAUUUCGUGACUUUUUCACUUCCAUUUGCCUACAACCAUCACAGAGUUCUGGGCUGGCAGCUGCAGCAGCCAUUUACAGUAGCUGAAAUACCAGCAGAGAAUUUCCCCUGCACACCACCCAGAGGCAAGGCCUGUAUUUUACAAACGCCUUCAAAGCAAACAUUUCAACUAUGAGACUUGGGUUUGAAAUUCAAACUCUGGAGUAUGACAGCACUUGGUGCCUGAGAUGAUUUUACCUCCUUUUCCAAGUUGUCAGAGUCACUCUAAUGCUUUUCUUUGUUGGAGGGCACAUGGUAACAACCCCAGGUCCUGCUGAACAGUGCAAUCAUUCUUUUAAACUUUCAGCUUAAAAGACAGUCUUUUACAGUCUGAGAAGGGCAGUUUCCUCCAUCUAAAAAAAUGGAGAAAUGAGAGCUUUGCACUGACUCCAGCACGGCCCAGGUCGGGCUCUUCAGCUUGGGUUUUGAUACACCCUUGUUUUUCAUUCAAGUCUAACAAUAACCAGGAGAAUCCUGCCAAUAUUUCUGGGAAUGAGGUAAUUUUUAAAUGGUGAAAUUGUGCAUCAUUUCAGUCAUAAUUUGGAACCCAACCACUUUAUCUGCCACUGAAAGCCUCAUCUCUCACAAGGGAUGUUUUAUGAGACAGAAAUUGUAAUGACGGGAUGAGACAAAAGCUCUGGCGAGGAGCAGACUUGAGUUGUGAAGUGGUAACAAAAAAAUGUUCUCUGUAGGGUUGGAAAAGCUGAUCUUCUAGUUAGAAUGGAAAUUUACAGAUGCAUGUGAGCUGCAGGCAUCUCCGUGAGUGUGUGUCCCCAAGUCUUAAACAACGUUCAGUGAAAUGUGAUUUCUACAUGAAUUUUCUGUGUUCAGAGGCAGGAUUGUUCUCAGGGAGAAUACUCAAAAUCGGCUCUUUUGAUGUUUUGUUCACAGAAACAGACACGUGAUGCAAGUUCAUAUACACAGGGAAUGGAACUGGGACAAAUGUUUGAAGACUUCUCCCAACAAAUUGCUCACAAAUGAUUUACAGCAGGAGUUACGUGCAGAGUGAUUACAACACGUGUGUCUGGAAAAGAAAUGUUAAAAGGAAAUCAAUCUGCUUGUGGACAAAUAAUGAAAAGAGGAAAAGGAAAAAUUCCUCUAACAAAUACGAAACUGCAAAUUAUUCACUCAGCUCAGUUGGCAACAACCAACUCUUGUGGUAGUAGGAGCUUGUAGAGUAGGAGGUAUCUGUGUGAAGAAUGAUUGAUUUGAUAUCUUAUAUUGCAAUUCUGGAAGGGGUUCAACAUCUAAUUUCAAAGCCAUUUUCCUCCUUUUACCCAGUAAAGAAAACAAAAUGAUAGUUGAUGUCUGUGAGCUGUUUUGGGCAGAUAGGAUCUAUUUUGUGUCCUCUCUGGACACUGACAAUGGCUGGCUCGUAAGGAAGAGCAGUUAUUUAUGAGAAAAGAUCUCUCUUGCCAGAAAAAACAAACAAACAAACAAAAAACAAAACCUGCCUGAGGAAGGAUAUUACCACUGUAAUCCUUUUUGCAUCUUCCCAGAAAAGACACCUGGGUCUGAACUCAGUGCAUCUUUGGGUUGUGGAGCCUUGUGUAAGCUGCAUCUCCACCAGCCCACCUCUCAGUCCACAGUAAUAAAACAAUCACUGAUUUCCUUCCCUCUUGGAAGAAUACAAAACACAUUUUGGACAUCUCUCACCUAAAACCACCUUUUGUCUCUCCUUCCCCACUCCUGGGAUGUAGGCAGCCGCCCUGUGAGAGGCUCUGGAAUGCUGCAGUGGGACGCCAGCAGUGUUGUCUUCUGCUCAAGACAGAGAGUGAGUGUAGCAUGCUCUGUUUAUGCCUGUGGAGUGGUGGAUGUGAGUGCAGCAUUCAGAUCUCCUUAACUGCUUACACGUGUAUUCUUGGUUCAAUAUGCAAUUCCUAGUUUAAUUCCUGAGCAGGCACAUGCUGUCUUCCCAAGGCAUAGCAGAUGCGAGGGAGUCCACUUCAUCUCUACUUCUUUACUUCACAAAAACCUUAAAAUGCUAAAGCCAUAAAUAGGCAUUACAGCACAAUCUUUGGGUGAAUGAUCUCCAACAUUGCUGCAGAUCUUAGUCAUAGUGAAAGCUUUUACAAGCUACUUUGAGCUAAUGGCAGAAUAGUUUUCAUUUAAAGCAGGGAUGUGUUCCUUCCCACAGAUGCUAAUUGCCAUAAUUCUAUUGUAAGUUCUGGGCUUAGUUCUGGGCUGAGCUAACUCCUUAUAACUUAACGCUAAUCAUUGGCCAGAGAUUAAUUUUACUAUUUCUGAGGGUUUGGAGAAAAAGUUACUGGGACUGAUACACUUCCAUGUCCACCAAAGGCAACAGUGGAAACAAGGUGUAUUUCUGCAAGAAUGUUCUAGGCAACCUCUUCAAAAACAGAAGGAUGUGCUGCAGAAGGUGAUGUUCAGGAGCCAUUUCACCAGCCCACAAGGAUACAGAGUGAGGGUAUCUGCAUCCAUCUGAGCUGUGCCCAAACCACUUUGAGUUCCUGCCCCUUAUACCUUUCCUCCCAUGCUGCAAAUCCACAUUAGAUUCAGGACUGCUUGAAAUGUCUGUGGAUGGCAAUGCCAGUCCACAGCUGGUGAAUGUCCUGCUCACCACUGGGUGCUUUACAGAAUCACAGGAUAUGCUGGGUUGGAAGGGACCCACAAGGAUUGAGUCCAACACUCAGCCCUGCACUGACCAUCCCCUGUGCCCCAGAGGAUCAUCCAAACCCUCCUGCAGCUCUGGCAGCCUUGGGGCUGUGCCCACUGCCCUGGGGAGCCUGUUCAGUGCCAACCACCCUCUGGGGGAAGAACCUUUCCCUGAGAUCCACCCUGAGCCUGCCCUGACACAGCUCCAGCCAUUCCCUGGGGGCUGUCCCUGGUCCCCCCAGAGCAGAGCUCAGUCCUGCCCCUCCUCUGCCCCUGCCCAGGCAGUUGGAACUGCAGGGAGGUCUCCCCUCAGUCUCCUCUGCUCCAGCUGAACACACCAAGUGCCCUCAGUGUCCUCACACGGCUUCAAAUCCAAGGCCCUUCCUGCAGCACCUUCCUCCCUGGGACAGGAGCAGGGGCACACAGCAGCUCAUCACCUGCACAGGACUUGUCAGAGGACAGCUGAUGUGUUGGUGGACCAACUUCCACAGUUUCACUGCAGAAGAGCUUUAAUUCUGACUAUAACACGAAUAUAGACAGAUUCAGUCUACAAACUGCAGAUAAAUAUGUAGGUUCUUUGAUCCUGGUUACAAAAUCCACCUCUGCCCUUUGCCUUUACCCUUCCCAUUCCCUGCAAUUUGGGGAAGUUUGCUUAGAAAGUGCAAUAAAAUGCUCACCUGCUGCAGGUGCCCCUAAGCCCACCAGCUUUUUUGCUUUUGUUUAAUUUGCUACGUGUGAUUAAUUCCAGUGAGGUUCUGCCAGGCAGAAUCUUCAGCUAAAAAUACCCUGAGUACACGUAGUUUGCUGCAACACUGUCGGGAAGUAAACACAACCAUAGUCCUCAUAAUCACUGUUUUCCCAAAGAACUGCUGCUCCCAGCAGACAGCCUAUUUCAGGCUGUAAAUAGAAAUCAGAAAAUGAGAUUUUCUUUCCCUAGUAGUUCUCCUGGGAAUUUUAGUGCUUUCCUCUGUGCACCUGCUUUGGGUGUUGGUGGCAGCCACAAAUAGAUACCUGUCUCUCAGAGGAUGGGGCACUGGAGCCUGCUCUGAUACACUGAAACACCAGUGGACAUGGGACAUCAUUCCCACUAGUACCAAUAUGUUUGCUGAUAUAAAAUCACAUGUUAGAUCAAAACCUGAUCAGCAUAGCCUGAUUUACUCCAUGAUUCCAGUGACAGUUCGCUCCAAAUUCAGGCUUGCAAAGUGAGUAAAGGUAUUUCCCAGCUUCUUAUUCCUCCUGUUCCAGUAGUGGCAAUACAUUUGCCACUCUCAGUUUUGCAGACUGCCUGUUCCCUGCUGUGGAUGAUCCAAGUCCAGUCAUGAGCACAGGCACUCCUGUCAAUACCAGGGAUGUCUGGCCUUGCCUCCAGUUCACAGCACAGACACUGCCAUCUAAAUCCAUAUCAUAUGGAUAUAAUGCAAGACGUUGGCACAGCCUUUAAACCUGAGGAGUUCUAAUUAUCAUUCUUCUAUCAUCAGUUCUUCUAUCAGCUUUAUCAUUCUUCAUGUAUUAUACCUUUUUUUUUUUUUCUGGAAAAAGCUUUGUCUUUAUUAGGAAUUCAGGAGAUGAGGUUUUGCUACAGCAACAUGCGGAUCUCAGGACUUGGGAAUGAAUCUUCAGUGUCAGAUGCGCUUUUCUGUUACCUCUAGUGGUAUUGAGAAGGAUUUUUUGUGCUAGGAAAUACCUUCAUUAUUUCGUGACAUGGGUGAUAUUUAGGCCUGUAUCCCCUCAUUUGAUUGAAUGCUACUCACAGGCAUCCUUUGACCUGCUGAGUAGCCAGUAGUUUAUUUCAGACAACUGUAGCAGUAGUGAGAAGCAUUCUCUUCCUGCCUAAAGAAAUUAAAAAAAAAAUUAACCUUGGAAAAACAUGAUUCAUGCUAUUUUCUUCACUGAAGGAAAAGGAGUGGGCUUUUUUGGGUACAAACCUAUUCAGUAAAAGAUGCCUUAGUCAACAGGGGUCAGCUUGAGAGCAGCACUGCGAGCAGACAAAAGAUUUUCAGAGAAUAUGUGAAAAAACCAGUUGGCUUUAACUAAAUGAAUAGAAACCCCACUUUGUGUUGUACCAUCACGCGUGGUAAUCCUGACAUUUCAACUUGUUGUCGUAGUCAUCCUCUGUCAUUCUCUUAGCUUUGUCAUUUACAGCAUUUAUCUCACUUAGCUUUGUCAUUUACAGCAUUCAUGUGCUUGACUUCAAGGAGCCUGAUGCUGUUCACUUGUUGCUUGGUUUGACCUUAAAAAUGUGAUUAAAAUGGCAAAGACAUUUAGAAAGUUGUGGAAGUAUUAUCCAGGAAAAAUUCUUGAGGCACAAUGGAAGAUGUAAACCCUUGGAUUUGCUUUGAAAAGGUAAAAGAGGCAGUGCCCCUGUGCCUCUCCUUGCCCACCCCCAGCUGCAAUUGCCCUUGCUGACACUGCUUCCUCUGCACUUUUUCAUGGACUCUCCCUUCCUUUUACAGGAUCUUCAUCCUCACCCCUCUUUAGUCCUUCAGAAACAGCAGGAGACCCAGCUACUACCUGUACCCACCUUCUUGCUCUGUCACCAGCUGAUAACAUUUUUAACUAUUAAUGGUAAUUACUUACCUGGACAUGUUUCAUCUCCAUCCUUUAAUCCCACAGUUUCCUCUGUAAAGCCUCUUGUCCCUGCACUCCCUUCUCCUUGAACUACUAUGGCUCCUCAAAAUUAGAGGAGCAAUUAGAUGAUGCAGCUGAUUAGCAACCCAGGACACACUGGAACAUCGUUAGCCAUCACCAGACCUGUGAUAAUUCGGGAGCCUUUUCUCCAGAAACCCCUUGGUCUCUUCAUGUACUGAGAAGUGGGAAGUGGGGAGUGUUUCCCUUCCCUUUGCUUGUCCCUUCCUGCCAUAGAGAACAUGACAGUUGCAGUCCUAGGGAUGUUUACAACUUGUACUUGCAUUUUCCAAGUCCUUAUUACCCUCUCCUUACUCAGUGGGUGGGAGGCCCUGGCACAGGAUGCCCAGAGAAGCUGUGGCUGCCCCAUCCCUGGAAGUGUCCA